GACGAACCGAGCGAACGUUGUUCGGAAUCACUGGGCUUAAAGGGCGCGUAGGCGGGCUGUCAAGUCUGGGGUGAAAUCCCGCGGCUCAACCGUGGAACUGCCUCAGAUACUGACGGUCUCGAGGGAGGUAGGGGCGAGCGGAACUGAUGGUGGAGCGGUGAAAUGCGUUGAUAUCAGCAGGAACUCCGGUGGCGAAGGCGGCUCGCUGGACCGCUACUGACGCUGAGGCGCGAAAGCCAGGGGAGCAAACGGG
rnacentral:rRNA from 1 species